rnacentral:rRNA from 1 species
UGGGGAAUCUUGCACAAUGGGGGCAACCCUGAUGCAGCGACGCCGCGUGAGCGAUGAAGCCCUUCGGGUCGUAAAGCUCUUUUGACCGGAACGAUAAUGACGGUACCGGGAGAAGAAGCUGCGGCUAACUACGUGCCAGCAGCCGCGGUAAUACGUAGGCAGCAAGCGUUGUUCGGAGUUACUGGGCGUAAAGAGUGCGUAGGCGGUUUUCUAAGUUCGGUGUGAAAUCUCCCGGCUUAACUGGGAGGGUGCGCCGAAGACUGGGAAGCUGGAGUGUGGGAAAGGCAGGCGGAAUUCCUGGUGUAGCGGUGAAAUGCGUAGAUAUCAGGAGGAACACCGGCGGUGUAGACGGCUUGCUAGACCAUAACUGACGCUGAGGCACGAAAGCGUGGGUAGCAAACA